UCCAGACUCCUACGGGAGGCAGCAGUGGGGAAUAUUGCACAAUGGGGGGAACCCUGAUGCAGCGACGCCGCGUGAGUGAAGAAGUAUUUCGGUAUGUAAAGCUCUAUCAGCAGGGAAGAAAAUGACGGUACCUGACUAAGAAGCCCCGGCUAACUACGUGCCAGCAGCCGCGGUAAUACGUAGGGGGCAAGCGUUAUCCGGAUUCACUGGGUGUAAAGGGAGCGUAGACGGCGACGCAAGUCUGGAGUGAAAGCCCGGGGCCCAACCCCGGGACUGCUCUGGAAACUGCGUCGCUGUAGUACGGGAGGGGCAGGCGGAAUUCCUGGUGUAGCGGUGAAAUGCGUAGAUAUCAGGAGGAACACCGGCGGCGAAGGCGGCCUGCUGGACCGUGACUGACGUUGAGGCUCGAGAGCGUGGGGAGCAAACAGGAUUAGAUACCCUGGUAUC
rnacentral:rRNA from 1 species